rnacentral:rRNA from 2 species
GAAUACCCGCUGAACUUAAGCAUAU